UGGAAAAGUGCCUCUUAGGCUCUCAUUAGAUCUGGACACACCUUUUAACCAGUAUUCUGAGUUGGCGUAGGGCCGAUCGUGCAUGCUGGUGGCGAAGCCCAUUCUUGGUCUGGUUCUUCUGAGGCUCCAGCCAGAAUAUGUCUCAUUUAGUGGCUCAGUGAAGGGGUUGGAAGUCAGAGGCUCUGGAUGAAAGCUAGCUGCCUUCCUCAGGACUGGUACCGGGGCCACGUGUCAUGAGAUUGUGUGUGAUAUAAGAUGUGCGAAGGUUCUGUUAGGAUCUGUCCAAAUACCAGGCACAGUUAGGAUUUUUUCUUAUUAAUGCACAUGAGAUUGUAAGACCACACUUUCUUUUAAAUCACAGUGUAGCUCUGAUGAACAGCUCAGUAGGCAGGGUUUUUUGAAAAACAAACUUUCUUCCACUCGGAGCUCAUGGACAUGGAGCAAGGGACCUGGAGCUGAGAAGUGGAGCUCUGGUCCUAGGGCCACCUCUCUGGGUUCCCAAAGUCCCCUUGGAAUGCUGUAACCCCGCAUUGUUCUAGAAUCAUUGCUUUUCAUGUCCUUCUCCCCACCCCUAGACAGUCAGCCCUUUGAAGGCAAGGACUAUGUCCUAUUCCACCUUGAAUUCUCAUCACCAAGCGGAACGCCUGACACCUAAUCUAGUCAGUGCUUACUAAGUGCUCAUUAUCAAUGCAAGAAUAACAGAGCUAUGGAACCUGGCAGCCACCUCUUUUCUUUGGGCCUCAGUCUUCUCAUGCAGAACUUGGGAUUGGACUAAAUUGGAUCUCCUAGGCUGCCUCUGACUCUAACAAUUCUCUGAUUUAAAUUAUUCUUCAUCUGGAUGUAAUCCACCUUGCUUUUCCAUCCCAGGCUCUGUUCUCACUCAUGGCUGAUGGGCAAAGGCGACUAAGGAGGCACGGCUCCGUGAGGAUGUCCUUACAACUUUGCAACCCCCAAGGAAAAAGAGGUUGUUUUCCCAAUAUCUACUGUAAAACCUAAGAGGAAAAUUUCACGUUGCUGCAGCUUGGAUCAUGCAUUUAUCAUUUGGACCACCUCUGAGGACAGGGAGUUGCAAUGUGGAUUUUAUGGAAUAGAUGCUAUGUGGUGGAAUCCUGAGUCACGGCCAAACAGCAAAUGCCAGCAAGAGUAGAGUAGGAGGCAUUUCUGUGUACACUUUGGGAAAAAGUCCAUUCCUCACUUGGUUUCAUUUCUGGCCUGAGCCGCUGUGUCCUCCACCUGAAGCCCUGACCUCUCCGUUACUGACUGGAUCCCAAUGUGCCACAGUUCACCUGCAUAAGGAGGGGGUCGAAGAAUAGAGGAAGUUAACCUUUCCAGUGCUACCUGCGGGCUGAGAAUGACGCACACAGCUUUUUUGAUACCCGGAAGUGAGACAAACUCAUAAGAUGGGGUGAGGAAAUGAGACAUCAAAAGAUUAAGUGACUUGCUAAAAUUUACACUGCCUACGAAAGCUGACCUGGAAUGUGAACCAGAAAUUGUCCUUAACCAAAUCACCUCACUGUCUCUCAAGAGAUGGGGUCUCACUACAUUGCCCAGGCUGGCUCUCAAAU
rnacentral:lncRNA from 1 species